UAAUACAGAGGGGGCAAGCGUUAUUCGGAAUUAUUGGGCGUAAAGGGCGCGUAGGCGGCCUGGCAAGUGGAAGGUGAAAUCCCUCGGCUUAACCGAGGAACUGCCCUCCAAACUGCUUGGCUUGAGACCGGGAGAGGUGAGUGGAAUUCCCAGUGUAGCGGUGAAAUGCGUAGAUAUUGGGAGGAACACCAGUGGCGAAGGCGGCUCACUGGACCGGUACUGACGCUGAUGCGC
rnacentral:rRNA from 1 species